rnacentral:lncRNA from 1 species
UCAAUUUCGAUUAUCCAGGCAAGAGUUAUGAGAACUGCUACAAAUUGAUCUCAUUCUUGUGGAUUCAACAAUUUAUUGCUCCACAUCUGAAUCCCCCAUUUUCAUUUCCAUUAAAACUACACAAUAACAACUACUUCCUUAUUCACCCAACGACACCGACACAAAAUCUCAAUUCAAGAAAGUCAAUUUGCAGAAAGAUGCUGACAAAAAGAGGUAACAAUAAUGGGUUUGUAUUGACUUGAGGCAAAACAAGGUGCACACGAAGUGUUCUAAAUUGAAUGGGAAUGACUGCAUAUGGGAAGAGAAAUAGUGCUUGAUACCUUCCUCCAUCGACCCUAGUUUUUCACCUAAACUUCAAAUUGAAUUUACAACAAUAAUUAUAUUAACAAACAAAUUGAAGAUCCAAAAUAUUAGGUAGAGAUCUAAUUAAAGUUUGUGAGAUAUUGUUACCUACCAAUUGGAUGGGGUCAUUGCAGGAUUAAUUUGUGAGAUAAUACUUGAUGAUGAAUGACUUGCGUUCUGAUGGAAUUUUCAGAUUUUGUAGUUUAGCCACGGUUAAACUCUUUCAGAAUUGAUUUUAGAGUUUUCCGGUUCCUAAAUCAUAUUGGCUUGUAACAUUCCAAAAACAUUUAGUGUUCC